GUUGGGAAGAGGAAGAAAAGAGAGUCUGAGAGCAGUGGUCAUGGGAACAUGGAGGAAAGCAAAAACUCCAGCCUCUAGAAAUAGGGGCUGAGAUUUGUUUCCCUAUUUCCCGAUGCCUUCCAUGCCUAUUGUUCUCUGAUGCUCCUUCCUCUUCUUUUUAACU
rnacentral:pre_miRNA from 1 species